GAAUCUUAUGUUGGGAAGUCAGCUGCCUCAGGUGAUGCACUACUCAUGGGUGUGUUACAUCUAUUAACUGCAACAGCAAUCCCUGUCUGAAAUUUGGGGUGGUUGGGGGGCGCAGCUACCAUCUCACAAGUGCAUUACAAAAGGCGCCUCCAGCUGGACCAACUUGGGUAAGCAGCACGAGGACAGAAAAUCUGAUCAUGAACAGUUGUAAGACAGUGUCUUUUGGAUGCUCUCUUGGUGUUCAUCAUUCCUGUAUCCCAGGAAACAUUGCCACCAUCAAAAAAAAAAAAAAAAAAAAAAAAAAGAAAUUAUCUAUUUUUUUGCCCAAAUCAAUGUCAGAACAAAUAAUUUUGCUUUCUAACAAGCAAAACAUAGAAGAGAACAUGCAGGUGAUGGCUGUUGAAUAAAAGUUUAGUAAGAAAGUUACACAGUUUUAAGAUAUUCCAAUGUGGCCAAUGUGAUGAGAAUCUCAUAAAGCCAAAAUACUCUCAGAAUGCUUAAAAAUAUCAUGCCAUUUCCAGGCUGAAAAAAUCAAGGAGGGAUUUUAAAGAACUCAGUGCAGGGCUAAAUGAAUUAUUGAUUGCUUCGGUAUAACUGAAACCUCACCGGGAUUUACAAGCAGUAGUGACAGUGUGGGUGCUGGGGUUCAUGGAAACACCCCUUGUCUCUACUGCCGUGUCUUCCCUUCGGCACGGCACAGUCCAGGUGAGCCAGGUAAAUACACACCUGGCGCCCGAACAGAGAUCCCAGGAGAAACAAUGAAAAGCAGGGCAGAUUCAAACAACAACAGGAACUAACAGUUUGCAUAUUGCAUAUUGCCAGACUGUCCGGGUGUGUCUUUAGGCUGCUGUCACCUUUGUUUGCCUGCGGACGCGCAGCGAGAAGAACCAGCAGCCGUGCGGGUAAAACUGAGGGUACACCCAGCGUAACCGCGGCACUGGAGGCUCCGCACAGAGCAGACCGUGGGCAGGCCGCGGGCACCCCUGCUCUCCCCUCGGUGUUCCCAGUGCUCGGGGCAGGAAGGAUCCAGGCGGGGAAUUCUCCUCUUCAGGUACCCUGACGCCUUUUCCUCGCGGGGCCGGAGCGCUGCCCUCGCCCGUCGCAGGACUACAGCUCCCAGCGAGCCUUGCGCCGCCUCCAUCUUCCCCCUCACAAACGCUCCUUGUUGAAAUAAAACCUGUCCUUGAACAAAACUUUCUCA
rnacentral:lncRNA from 1 species